rnacentral:rRNA from 1 species
AUUGAACGCUGGCGGCAUGCUUUACACAUGCAAGUCGAACGGUAACGGGCCGCAAGGUGCUGGCGAGUGGCGAACGGGUGAGUAAUGCAUCGGAACGUGCCCAGUCGUGGGGGAUAACUACUCGAAAGAGUAGCUAAUACCGCAUACGAUCUAUGGAUGAAAGCGGGGGACCGUAAGGCCUCGCGCGAUUGGAGCGGCCGAUGUCAGAUUAGGUAGUUGGUGGGGUAAAGGCUCACCAAGCCAACGAUCUGUAGCUGGUCUGAGAGGACGACCAGCCACACUGGGACUGAGACACGGCCCAGACUCCUACGGGAGGCAGCAGUGGGGAAUUUUGGACAAUGGGCGCAAGCCUGAUCCAGCAAUGCCGCGUGCAGGAAGAAGGCCUUCGGGUUGUAAACUGCUUUUGUACGGAACGAAACGGCUCUGGUUAAUACCCGGGGCUAAUGACGGUACCGUAAGAAUAAGCACCGGCUAACUACGUG